rnacentral:misc_RNA from 1 species
AGAAUCAUCUCUUUCUACAUAAACCUCUUUUUAAGUUUACAUUUUCAGAGUGACUCUUCGAUGUUUUGGGUUACUGAAGUUUUAUUGUCUGUGGAUGGAGGGAUCUGUUGCUAUUUUUGGGUGGUUGUGCAAUUGGCAUUUGCUUGAGAUUUAUUUAAUGUGUGGGCUCAUUUAAUUGGUUAGCCUGAACAUCAUUUAUCAAUUGAUGGUUUGCUUUCAAUUCAGUAAAUUCGUUGAAUCAAUGCCAUUGAUAUGCUUUAUGAGUAUUGUGUGUGAUUUGGUUGCUGAACUGUAAUCAUCCCUAACUGAUUCUUCAUUGUUGCCCUCCUUUCUUGAAUACAUUUCUUUGCUCUGCUUCCACAUAUUGUUUUCUUUUCAUUUACAUGCAGAAAUUGCAAGCAGCCCAGUUAUUGUGAUUUUCUUUCACGUCUUAUACUAGUAUAGCAAAUUAGCAAUAGAUAAACUCUUCAGGCCUGGCGAUUAUUACAUAUCAAGGCUACUUUUUUUGAAAUUUACUAUACAUAUGUUGAGAAUAAAAAAGUUGCAAAGACCAAAAUCCCUUGUUAGGCUGCAAGUAUAGGUUAUAUAUGCAAGAGAAUGUGCAUGAGGAAUCUUAGCAACGCAAGGGAAAACAACAUAGAAUUAGUCUGGUUGGUUAUGCAAUAAAAAAAAAAAUGAUAAAUGAGGAGAAUGUUAAUCAUGGGGAUAAAGCAUGUGGUUGGGAUAAAGUAGUGUGACAUGAGACUUAUCACACUUAUGCAACUAUAAAAACUUUACCAAGUUAAAGGUUAAGUUAGGUUAAGUUCUACUAGAUUGCAAUUCAACUUCUUAUCACUUUUGGUACAUAUAAGGUUUAUCUUAUCAAUUUUGGUGAAUAGGUACAAGCUAUCCU